rnacentral:rRNA from 1 species
CCGAUCGAGGGAAAUUAGUACCGAAGUCCGGGAUGGAAGAUGGCGAGAAAAGCUGUGUGUAUUUCUGCGGUGCCCGUACCGCAAACCGACACAGGUAGGUAGGAAGAAGAUUCUAAGGCCAACGGGAGAAGGGUUGUUAAGGAACUCGGCAAAUUGACCCCGUAACUUCGGGAGAAGGGGUGCUCUAGAGAUAGAGCCGCAGAGAGUCGGCCCAAGCAACUGUUUACCAAAAACACAGGUUUGUGCUAAAUCGAAAGAUGACGUAUACGAGCUGACGCCUGCCCGGUGCUGGAAGGUUAAGAGGAGAUGUGCAAGCAUUGAAUCGAAGCCCCAGUGAACGGCGGCCGUAACGAUAACGGUCCUAAGGUAGCGAAAUUCCUUGUCAGGUAAGUUCUGACCCGCAUGAAAGGCGCAAUGAUUUGGGCACUGUCUCGACAGCCCGCCCGGCGAAAUUGUAGUACCGGUGAAGAUGCCGGUUACCCGCGACAAGACGGAAAGACCCCAUGGAGCUUUACUGUAGCCUAAUAUUGGGUUUCGAUGUUGCAUGCACAGGAUAGAUGGGACACUGGGAAGCAAGAGCUUUGGCUUUUGUGGAGUGGCCGUUGGGAUACCAUCCUUGCGAUAUUGGAAUUCUAACCUUCGCCUUUGGAUCAAGGCGGGGGACAUUGUUAGGUGGGCAGUUUGACUGGGGCGGUCGCCUCCUAAAGAGUAACGGAGGCGUUCAAAGGUUCGCUCAGCUUGAACGGAAAUCAAGCAAAAGAGUGCAAACGCAGAAGCGAGCCUAACUGCGAGACUGACGGGUCGAGCAGUAACGAAAGUUGGAGUUAGUGAUCCGGUGGUAUGUGAGUGGAAAUGCCAUCGCUCAACGGAUAAAAGUUACCCUGGGGAUAACAGGCUGAUCUCCCCCAAGAGUCCACAUCGACGGGGAGGUUUGGCACCUCGAUGUCGGCUCAUCGCAUCCUGGGGCUGUAUUCGGUCCCAAGGGUUUGGCUGUUCGCCAAUUAAAGCGGUACGCGAGCUGGGUUCAGAACGUCGUGAGACAGUUCGGUCCCUAUCUGUCGUGGGCGCAGGAUAUUUGAUGGGAGCUGUUCCUAGUACGAGAGGACCGGAGCGGACGUACCUCUGGCGCACCAGUUGUUCUGCCAAGGGCAUAGCUGGGCAACUAUGUACGGAUCGGAUAAACGCUGAAAGCAUCUAAGCGUGAAGCCGACCCAAAGAUAAGAUAUCCCAUUGUUUCAAACAAGUAAGACCCCUUGAAGACUACAAGGUUGAUAGGCAUGAUGUGUAAGUGGAGUGAUCCAUUCAGCAAGCAUGUACUAAUAGGUCGAGGGCUUGACC